GGCAUCAUUUCGAUCCUGGCCCUUGUCCUGGCAUGGGCAUGAUUAUAGGCCUGCUGUGCUUCCUGAGGGUCUGUAUGGUGUGAGGAGAGAAGUCUGGCAGGCAUACCCCCUGUCCCCCAGCAACACACCAGAGAAUUCACCUGUCAAUACAAAAUCUCAUCAUCACAACCUCAUAAAUAGAGUGACAUUCUUGGCAUAGCCAUGAUGUAAAAAGUGGUUAUUAAUAGAGGUUGUGUGGCUCACCUUGUGAUAGGCGCUGAAAGAUGCCAGAGGUCUGAAAGACUCAGGAAUCAUGGACUGAGCCAGGCCACUUUGCCACAACAUAUACACAACAUUUACACAAUUUCACUCACAUCUGCAGUCAAUUUCACUUACAGUUUCAACUGAUUCAUAAGCAGAGUACAACUACGUUUUCGGAGAUGUUAAUUAACUAAUUGGAUUGUAAUUGUGAUGGUUUCAGCGGAGCAGUGAGUGUGUAUUUGUAUUUGUGCGCUACUUAGGCACUCAGGCGGUCUGCAACUUUGCCACGCUUUCUCUCGUUGUUCUAUAACUGUGGCGGUGUUGCCUUUCUUUUCGAUUUGAUAGAGUACUGAUUAGUAGCACAUUCACAUUAGCACAACGUAGCACUAUCGGGAUAAAAACACAGCGUGUCUCGUGAACAGCAAAGCACCAUCGUCACUGACAUGAGUGAAUACAGCAUCUGAUGUUAUAGCAGAUGUUGCGAUGCAAGAUAACACAGUAAUGUCUGUAGUAAUAUUCUACAUAUUCCUGAAUUUGGGUGUAUUUUAAAUAAAAAUGCAAGGUUAUUGUCUAUUGACAGUCCCUGAGACCUCUGUGCUGCUCUGUCACAUUUACCAGGAAACGGCGAUGCUCAGACCUUUGGAGAGCUGGGGAUGAGAAAAGGUUGGUGGGCGAACAGGUGUCAGAUCUUUGCAGAGCACCAGUACAAACUCUCAGCGGUUUCCGUGACAUGAGAAAUACUUUCAAAACUUGUGAAGUCACCCGAUGCCACUGUUUUAACACGGAUUGGUUAUUCAAAAUCACUCCUGCCCAUAUAUUUACACGCAGCGGGGAAGGCAUGGCACAUGUAAAUAUACUAUUUGUAAGAGUUCAAGGAGUCUUUUGUGAUACCUUUUUUGCAUGUUGGUGUAGUUAUGAAGGUAAAUUUUUGAUAUACAGGGUCCCCACGGUCAUGAAAUUCCUGGAAAAGUUAUGGAAUUUGAAAAACCCAUUUUCCAGUCUUGAACAGUUAUGGAAUUAACUGACUGUUUUGAAAAAGUUUUGAAAUAUACUUCGUUUUAAAAUAUAUUGUAGUGUACAAUAUUCCUUAAAAUCCUCAAAAGAUAUCUAGCGUUACCGAAAAAGUGUAAGCUAUUAUUUAAAUCGAAUGUUGCACCAAUUAGGCUCAUGACCGGUGAAACGAAUAUGACGUGAUGUGAUACAUAGACAUAGGCUAUGUAUGUAGCUAGUUGGCUAGUUAGCAGUUGUUUUCGAUAGCAGUCGCUUCCGAAAAAAUGCCUGGAAAAUACUCCUUUAACAAUGUAUGGCUUACAAAUUUGAAAUAUAAAUCAUGGCUCAAAAGAGAGGAAGACCCUGGCGAGCUGGAUGUAAGCUCUGUGUAAAAUCAUUUGAUGUCAGCAACAUGGGGGAAGCAGUGCUCGUUAGCCAUGCCAAAGGAAAGAAACAUUUAGACAACCAAAAGGUGGCUGAACAAACCGCCAGCGUCAGAACCUUCUUCACCCCUCAGCCUGCUGCAGCCACAGCCAUGCCUUAAGCUUCACCUUCAACUAAGGCAAGCACAUCAACAUAACUGACCCUCAACCAGUAUGCUGCCUCAAACGAUGUGCUAUCGGCUGAAGUGUUAUGGACUCUAAAGUUAAUGGAUUCGCAUUAUUCGUACAGUUCAUGUGCCAACACAGGCGCAGUUUUUUGAGCCAUGUUCCCCGACAGCAAAAUAGCAUCUAAAUUUAGUUUAGGGGAAACAAAGUCUGCGUACCUCCCAACAUUUGGCAUUGCGCCCUACUUCAAAUCACUCCUGGUCAGAGAAGUGUCCAGGCAGGCUGGUUAUGUAAUGAUGAUCGACGAAAGCUUGAACAAAGCUCUGCAACUCAAACAGAUGGAUCUGCACGUACGGAUUUGGGAUGGUGGGGAGGUGAAAACCUGCUAUGUAGGCUCUGAGUUUCUUGGACACGCAACUGCCCAGGACAUUGUAGAUCGAAUGCAAACUAUGCUCUCAGAAACAGAAAUGAAGAAUCUCAUGCAGCUGUCAAUGGAUGGACCCAUUGUAAAUUGGAUGGUUUUCGAUUUACUUCAAUCUGACCUGGUCCAAAUCAACAAAUCUCUACUGAACAUGGGGUCGUGCGGACUGCACACUCUCCAUAACGCCUUCCGAGACGGAUACAAGGCAAGCGGAUGGGAGGUGGACCACACCCUCUCUAGCCUGUAUUGGCUCUUCAAAAACAGCCGCGUGCGUCGAGAAGACUUCAUAAACCUCACAGGUAAUGAAUUUUAUAUUGUAUUAUGUGCUAUUGAAUUGUAAACCUUUUGCACAAUAUCUAUACUGUAAAUAUAAUGUAUUGAUUGUUGAUGUAAUGUAGGCUAUUGAAAUUAUUAAUAAAGUCCUUUAAAACUCACGCAGGAUGCGACACACCCAUGCUGAAAUUCUGCCAGCACCGAUGGGCUGAAAAUGUGAAGGUUUGUGAGAGAGGGCUGAUGCUGUGGCCUCAUGUGAUGAACUACGUUGAUGCAGUCUCACGAUGAGAAUUACUGGAGCCAAAGAUCAAAUCUUUCCAAGAGAUCAAGAUGGCCUGUGCAGAUCCACUUUUCCGAGUGAAAACAGCAGUAUUGCAGAGCAUAUUCAAGCAGGUCACCACUUUCCUCGUCCAGUACCAGACCGACAAGCCAAUGCUACCAUUCAUGGGUGAGGAUGUGUACCAGCUGCUCAAAGGGCUCAUGGACCGUUUUAUCAAAGAAAAGACCAUGAAAGAGGCUACCUCGGUAUACAAAACUCUUCAGGUGCCUUUUGAUCAAGCUAGUGAACAGAAAGAUGCCUCCAAAGUGGAGAUUGGGUUUGCAGCAGAGGCAGCGCUCAGCAAAAUUAAAAGUCAGAAGAAGAUCUCAGAAAGACAGGUGCUUGAGAUAAAAAUGGACUGUAAAACUUUCCUCAUUGCACUCCUGCACAAGCUUGUUCACAAGACACGUGUGCAAUACCUCCUUGUUCGAAGCACGCAGUGCAUAGAUCCUAGACAAAUGGUUGCCAACAAAGGGCAGUGUGUGUAAACAAAAUGAAAAGAGUCCUGCAAACCCUUGUCAGUGCAAAUCAAGUGAGAGAAUCAGUUUGUGACGAUGUCUUGAGAGAGUACAGGGCGUUCUGUGAUUGUGCUCUGGUCACUCCAGGGUUCAGAGAAUUUGACCCCACCUCAGAUAGAGUAGAUACACUGUUUUAUGAGACCUCUAGCACUGAAUUCAAAAACCUCUGGGAGGUGGUGAAGGUGCUUCUUGUGAUGUCCCACGGACAGGCAAGUGUAGAGAGGGGGUUUUCUGUUAAUAAAGAAGUUGAGGUAGAGAAUCUGAAGGAACGGUUUUUAGUGGCAUAGAGACUUAUCACUGACCACAUUAGGGCAGUUGGAGGAGUAUGUAGAGUUCAGAUCACAAAAGAACUGCUUAUAUCAGCUGCAGGUGCAAGGCAGAAGUAUUGUGCCUACCUUGAUGAGCAAAAGAGAGAGAGAAGCAGAAAGACGCUUGCCAUGAAAAGAAAGUCUCUCAUGGAAGAAUUGGAUGAACUAAAAAAAAAAAGAAGAGAGCUAGAGUUGAGGCUGAUGCCACUGCCUUAGAGAAAGCUGCAGAUGAGUACGCGAACAAGGGAGAGACCACUAGCAAACUAACCUUUAUUGCAAUGUCUAACAGCCUGCGCCAUUUAGCCAAAGAAAAGAAAGCAAGUCUUCUUGACAUUGAAAAGCAAAUCAAUGAGAAACUAUAAGAAAUUAAGAAUGGGUAGACACAGUUUGACUGUUCAAAGCAAACUUAUGUUCAUUUUUUAACAUAUAUUUUUUUUAUGAAGCAUAGUGCAGUGUGAUAUUAGGUUUUACUCUCAAAAUAUUGUAUCGCCUAAUGCUGUGAGGCCUUGAUUGCCGUUUAUCUUGUGGUGCUCUCGUACCAGAAACCCAGACUAAUUUAUUUAUUUUACUGAUUCCUUAUUUAAAUGAGGAAGCCAUCCCUGAAGCACAGUGGCCUACUUAAGUUACACUUAAUGCACAAAUGUUUUUUUGUAAUUGUUGAAUAUCUGAUUUUCUCAGAAUAAAUAUCAUUAUUUGUUACCUUGUUAUUUGUCAAUGUUUUCACUUUUUGAGCAUUUAAAUGCUGUAGCACUUGAUUAAUUGUUG